rnacentral:lncRNA from 1 species
AAGACAUAAGAUUUGGAUUUUUCUUCUUCGUAGAGUUUGGGGGAAGAUUGAGGCAAUCGCUGCUGAAGUCAGUGUUGUAAUGGUGAAUCGGGAUUUUUAAAUGAAGUGGGUUUGAAUACUCUUGACUGUUUUGUGAAAUCGAGUUACAUCUGUGAUUGAAGGAUUAAAAGGGUGUCUAUAGGAUUGAGUAUGCGGAGUGAAUGAAAUUUAUUGGAUUAAUCUAACAAGACAGUCAGUGGAUACAAGAUCGUAAGUACAAAGCAGUAUUGAAGGUUAACAGUUUGGGUUGUACGGGGUUCUCUGUAACGUCUAGAGACCUACCGGCUGGGGCAAAAAGGACUUCGACAAGCAGUCGAAGAGCACCCGUAUAGAUUUACGGUACAUUGUUGCAGUCGUUUAUAUUCCAGCAGUCAAAAACUGAUAGACUGCUUGACUAUCGGCGAAUCUCCAUACUACCUUCUACAGCCAGACGCCCGGCGCGUUCUCGAGCACGAAAGCACGUAAUACGACAUAAGUGGUGAACCCGACGUGAAAGCUUGAGGUAGAAGGUAUUGGAUUUCGGUUGAUUUUAUCUUUAUUUUUUAUGGAAAACGAAAAUAAAAAUUUUGAAGGAUUUUUGGGAGAAAUUUCUGGUGGGGAGUCUUCUAAAGGACAAGGUAUGCACAUGGAUCCGUCUAUUGCUAGUUUGUUUCAAGCCUUCUCAUUGUCAAUGCAGCAACAGCAAAGCAAUGAUCGAAAGGAAGCUUUGGCAACCAAAGCAUUGCAAGCAGUGGUCAAUAAAAUUGAUCAAUUUGAUGGGAGGAAUAUUUCAAGGUAUUUAAGAUGUUAUGUUUGUGAAAUGGAAUUAAAUCGGGUUUCUGAGAAGAAAAUGGUUGCACUAUUUGGACUUGCCACGAUACCGGAGAUAAGGGACCACAUUACAUCGAUUACGGAUCGUUGUGGGAAAUCAUGGGAGGAUUUUUCACAUGCAUUGAAAGACGAAUAUUUCUUGGAAGAUGCUGAUCGCGUUACUAAGAAGCUGUUUCUGGGAUGGAUUGAACGGCCCAAUAAGAAUUUGCAAGCAACAGAGCUACUAAGGGAAUUUGAGAGGCAGUACUCUCAAUUAUCGAAGGUAGAAAAAUUGACAUUGGAGCCGAACAAAGUUGAUUUAUUUCUUCAAGCUGCUGAUGGAAAAUUGCAAGAGAAAUUAGAACCCCUUCUUGAAGACAAAGAAGAAGAUGAAGGAUUGACAACGAAGUGGAAGAACGUUGAAGAUGCGGUGGGGUUGCUUACAAAAAAAGAAAGGAGGAAGGAUAGGAGUAAUAUUCCGAAACAAGUACAAGCAUCCAAAGCUCCAGUACGUACUACACCACCGACAAUGCCUACAGUUCAACCUUCGACAUGCUUGUCAAAGAAAACAGAUAUGGGUAUGGAAGAAAUUAUACGAGGAAUGCGAGAUCUUCAAAUCAAAUUGGCAAGACUUGAAGAGAAUACUUCUAUAAACAAUUCGAAGAAUGUUUCAAAACAAGGAUAUGUACAAAGAUGCAUUUGGUGUGAUGAUGCUUCACACACUAGAAAAGAUUGCAAUGAAUUUAAUAAUAUGAUACGGCAGGGAAUUAUUUGCUGGAAAGAUGGGAAGAUAGCAUUGAAAGAUAGGGAGGAUCUUCUUCAAACCAAUUUUGGCAAGGGAGGAAUGAGAGCAUUGGUUCAAGAUUACUUAAAAGGGCAUGAAACAGUAGCACGAGAAAGUGCAAGUUAUGGUGCUAGAGUAGAUGAUGAAAUUGGUGGAAGUACGGAAACUAGUGAGUUUUGGGCUUCUGCCGUUUCUACAAUGCAAGAAGGGAAAUUACCUCGAGAAGCGUUAUUGAGAACUGCAGCUACAAUACGAGGAAGAACAGGUUGGGAGGAUCCUGUUGAGUCUCUUUCAGUUCAUGCAUAUAUUGCUAAGAGCCAACAUGAAGCUUUGAUGGAAGAGAAAAGACGAGGAAAUUUUGAUGAUACUAGAGAAGGAAAUUCUUUUAAGAGGCAAACUCGAGGAGACAAGGCUCGGGAGGCAGCUUCAUAAGAAUUGCCUGUAAAGGAUACCUCAGCAUCAUUGGGAGAAAAAACAACGGAGACAAAAGAUAAGGGCAAAUCAAUUGCUUAUAAGCUACUUUCUGACAUUGAAGCAGCAACAAAUUUGAAAGGGGUGUUGGAAGAACGUAUAUUAAACGCUAAGGUGGAAUUCACAUUGAAAGAAGUCUUGGGAAUUGCAAAGAAGGAGUUUCAUGAUGUUAUCAUUGACAGCAUUAAGCGAAAGAGGCAAUUAAUGAGCGAAACUGGAAUGAGUCAUGCUAUUGACGCAAGAAUAUGUAGAGAUGAAGAAGAGGUUGAUAUUGGUUACAAGCAACCAACAAAUGAAAAGAAUGGGUAUAAUCAGCGAGUACGUUUCGAAGAUUCUAGUGACAAGGAAAUGGAAACUUUGAGCCAUUAUACUCGAAAGCAUUGGGCAAGGGCAACUACUGAGGUAUUGGUGAAGGUAGGAGAUAUAGAAGAACCAAUAGUUGCUUUGGUGGACCAUGGUUCUGAAAUAAAUCUCAUGUCUAAAGAUCUUUAUAAGAAGCAAAAAUGGCCAAUUGAUAUGGAACAUGGAUGGGCAAUACGAGCAGCUAAUAACACACGAGGCGAAUUAUAUGGAGCUUGUCCAGAUGUCAAAAUUCGGAUUGGAGAUGUUGCUACGGAGCAACAUUUCUUCGUUCAAGAUACAACGUCUUAUCCGUUGAUUUUAGGACAACCUUAUAUCACGGCAACACGGAUAAAAACAAAGGUACUUGAUGAUGGUUCUGCUUAUGCAAGGGUACGGAGCGAAGAUGGGAGGAAAGCUGUACAAUUUCUAACAGUACCUCCUAACCAUGAACGGAAUCGAGAUAGGUUGAGGGAGAAACCAUUGCCAAAGAUUGUUGAAGGAUUUAAGGAUUUUGGGGAGGUACCACUGUAAAGCGAGAUUAUGGAGGUACAAAAGAGGAGGUACUCUCGCGAGAUGAAGGUGCCUUUGAUGCGAGUUUUAUUGGUAUAUUGGAGAAUGGAAAUAUUAUGUAUAAGAAAGUUGAUGAUUUUAAAAGAAAAGAAAGAAAAAGAUUAUAUAAUAUUGAAGGACAAUUACGCAAGAUAGGUACAUUGCAAGAUGAUGAGAGGAUUUUGGGUGUUUAUGAAGAAAAUGGACUGGAAGAUUCAUUGGAAUUGAUUACAUCUAUUGGGUUAGGGGAUAAUGAUAAGAUUGUUGAGAUUCAUUCGAGAGAGGUUUAUACCAUGCUUGAAUCUUUUCAAGCACCAGAAGUCACAGUAGAGACGAGAUAUAAAACGGCAGAUAAGAAGGUAAAGCCUGUUGCCGGACCAUUACUAGAGGAUUUUAAAGAACAAAUGGGAGAAGCAUCAAAAGAAGGAAGUUUAAGAGAUCCAAUGAGUAUUGGACAUCAGUUUACUGAAGAGACUUUUGAAGAAUUGAAGAUUGGUUCUGAUGGUUCUUUAUUGCCGGAGGAAAUUACUUGCUUCAAAAAGAUGUUGGCUAAACAAGGUAGAUCGUUUGCCUUCGAAUCUCAUGAAAUUGGGUGUGUGGAUCCAAAUAUUAUAACACCUAUGGUUAUCUUCACUGUACCGCAUGUACCUUGGAAUCUAAGACCGAUUCCAGUACCGAGGGCACAUUUACCUAAAUUGGUGGAACUAUUGAAAGAAAAGAUAAAGAUGAAAAUAUUAGAACCUUCAUUUGCGCCGUAUUCUAGUCGAUGGUUUACGGUACCUAAGAAGAAUGUGUCACUACGGUUUAUUCAAGAUAUGCAGCCGGUGAAUGCUGUAACUGUCAGGAAUGCAGGAAUUGGACCUAAUGUGGAUGAAUUUGCUGAGGCGUUGCUGGAAGGUCGAUCUAUUCAAUGGGUGAUUUGUAUUCAGGUUAUGAUCAAUUUCAACUUGCCGAAGGAAGUAGAGAUAUGACAACGAUGAGGACACCGCUUGAAUUGGUUGGAAUGUGCACUCUUCCUCAAGGCGCGACCAACUCAGUUGCGCAUAUGAUGAAUGGGAUGAACAAGGUAUUGAGAGAUUUUAUUCCGGAAAAGACUAUGCCUUUUGUGGAUGAUGUUCCCAUAAAAGGGUGCAGAGAAGGAGACAAGGAUGAAACUUUAGAUACGAGGGGGUGUCGCAGAUAUGUUGUUGAUCAUAUACAAGAUUAUGAAAAGAUUUUAACUCGGCUUGGAGAAGUUCAUCUUACAUUAUCGGGUAUGAAGUCCGUAUUUGAAGUGCGAGAGGUUGUAAUUGUUGGACAUUUAUGCGGAUCUUACGGAAGAAAACCAGAUCCGACUAAAGUUGAUGCAAUUGGAAGGAUGAAAGAGGAUUGUGAUUCUUUAACAGAGGUUUGCAGGUUUUUGGGUGCAUGUGUAUUUUAUCGAAUCUGGAUCCCUCAUUUUGCUCACAUAGCGGAUCCAUUAUAUGAACUGUUACACAAGGGUUACCGAUUUGAAUGGGAAGAAAGGCAUAUUCAGGCAAUGCAAAGAUUGAAGAAAUUAUUGAUGUCACCUCCAAUAUUGAGGAAGGUUGAUUAUAAGUGCAAUAGACCAGUGAUUCUUACUGUAGACGCUAGUCCAAUUGCCGUUGGAUGGGCUGUGGGUCAAGAUGAUUCGAAUGGGAGUAGAUUUGCAGUUCGAUUUGGGGCUAAAGUUUUAAGUAUUCAUCAGCGUGCAUAUUCGCAAGUCAAAAGAGAACUUUGGGGAGUCGUUUCGGCUAUGAAAGCUGAAAAGGACUAUUUGAUUGGGGCAAUAGUAGUAAUUGAAACAGAUUGCUUGCCAUUGCUUGGAAUGAUUAUUAACUGUUCAACGCCAGAUAUUGCAAUGUUGAGAUGAAUUGCUUAUAUUAAGUCACUAAAUCCAGAAUUUAAGCAUAUCACUGGAAAGGACAAUUUAGUAGCAGACAUGCUAUCUCGAGCAAGAUACAAGAGGGAGCAUCAAAUGGUUGAAAACAUUGAUGAUGUCGGAUUGAAAUUCUAUUCAAUAUCAAAUCUCAACAGAGAAGACAAGCUAUUUCUUGAAGAAUCUUAUGAAGGAGAAUUAUUGGAUAUUGGUCAUUAUUUGAAUACCUUGUCUAAGCAGGGGAAUUGGUCUACAGAAAAAUUCAAACAAAUAAGAAAAAAAAGCAUAUGGAUUUUUAUUUCGAGAUGGAUUCUUAUGGAAGAGACCGAAGAAAGGAAUUGGGAUGCCACAACGAGUGAUAGGCAAAAGGGAAGAAAAACUAAAAUUAUUAAAGGAGUUUCAUGAUAGUUUAUGGGCAGGCCAUAGAGGAAACUGGACUACUUUUGCUAAACUCAAGGAACGAUAUUGGUGGAAAAAUAUGUAUCGAGAUGUGCUCUCAUUUGUAGAGUCAUGUGAAAUCUAUCAAUCGUAUUCUAAUAUCCGACAUCGAGAUGGUCUUCAUCCUACGUAUCCUCUGGCUAUUCAUUUUAAAUGGGUUGUUGAUUUGGUUAUUAUGCCGGUUGGGUUAUGGCAGAUGAGAUAUUUGGUUUUAGCUCGUGAAGAUUUAUCAAAUCAAGUAGAAGGAAGAACAUUGAGGACAAAAUCUACAGAGAGGAUUUGUAGGUUUUUGCUUGAAGAUGUCAUUUGCCGUUACGGGUGCGUAGGAAAAAUCACUGCAGAUCGUGGAGAAUUAAAUGCACAAGAAGCUCGUAAGUUCUUUGAGAUAUGUGGAGUUAAACUAUCACUUACUACUGCUUAUAAUCCGGAAGGGAAUGCGAAAAGCGAACGCGGUCACCCGCCGAUUGUGAAAGCAUUGGUUAAAGCUUGUAAUGGGAAGGUUAAAGAGUGGCCACGGCUUUUGUCAUUUGCAUUAUGGGCUGAUCGAACAACACAUAGUUCGGUAACAGGAUAUAUGCAAGUAGAACUUAUGACAGGUCAAAAACCAAUUAUGUCGAUUGAAGAAAAGGUACUUACUUGGAGUAUGCUACCAUGGGAAGAUGGAUUGACAAGAGAAGAACUUCUGGCUAUUAGGAUUCGACAAUUGGAGCAAAGAACGGAAGAUGUCCAGAUAGCAUUGGAAAGGUUAAAAAGAGCAAGGUUACAAAACAAGGCGCGAUUCGAUAAGCAACAUCGAUUGAGACCAAAAGAAAUCGAGGAAGGUGACUGGGUACUUGUUUAUGACAAUAGUCUGGAUUAUCAACAUAGUACUUUGCGGAAAUUUUCAAAACGUUGGUUUGGACCAUAUGUUGUAACAACUGUUCAUGAUAAUGCGACUUACUCAUUACGGGAGUUAGAUGGUACAAAAUUGAAAAUACCAAUUGCAGGGAAGAGAGUAAAAAUAUUUAAACGAAGACACACAGAGAUGGAUAUGGAAGACCUUAAUGAAGAUACAGAGAUUCCGUAGCAAGAAGAUGAAAGUGAUAUGGAUAAUGAAGGUGACGAAGACGAACUGGACAAAGACGUAGGGGAUAUAUUCUGAAUCAAACAGCAAUUGGGUAAAUUGGUGCAUACCGGAGGAUGCACUGGUACAGAGGGGGUGGAUGUCGUGUUGUAACACGAGUAUACAGUGAAAAUAAAAAGAAAGGGGAAUUUUAUUAAUAUUCAGUUACCUCGAAUAUUGGGAGCAUCGACCAACUCCUGUACAAAUACUGAGUGGUCAGGUUCAAUGACUCCGUUACAGUCAGCCGGGGCAUACUGGAAUGCCCCAUUCGAUUCCAAUAACGGAAGUCAGCAGGAAGAGAAGGACCAAUUCACAUGACGGGUUCGAGGAGCCAAUUGGAUCCAAUUUCGAUAAUCCAAUCCGGGUCCUCUUACCCAAUAUGAGACCUGUAUUGGUGGGGCAACCCAAUGCAGUCUAGUUACGGGAAAUCCAGGUCUUACUACGGGUCUUAGCCAAUCUGACGCAAGGACCAAUUUGACCCAAUUAUGGGAACAUCCAGGUUACUACGGGCAUCUUUCCCAAUAUAGGACCUGAAUUGGUCGGGCGACUCAAUGUGGUCCCGAUUACGGGGUUCGAUUCUGUUUCGGGUUGUCCUGUUCUCUGUGCCGUCUCAGGGAACAUUGUUUUCGGUAAAUGGAUUUCUUAAAGGUAGAAACGGAGGAGAAAGCUUGAGGUGGGAGCCAAUUUCGGAUCCAAGCUUGAGGUGGGAGCCAAUUCCGGAUCUAAGACGGAAGAUUGAAGAAAUUCAGAGGAUAAGGUUAGGGGGGAUAUAAUUUUGGAGUGGUGUGGAUUUUUAUUUUGGGGGGAUGGGAGGUUUUUGAAGAUCAAGGGAAUUAGGGAGAGGAGCUUCAUGCUUCGGGUCGGGGAAGGAAAGACAUAAGAUUUGGAUUUUUCUUCUUCGUAGAGUUUGGGGAAGACUGAGGCAAUCGCUGCUGAAGUCAGUGUUGUAAUGGUGAAUCGGGAUUUUUAAAUGAAGUGGGUUUGAAUACUCUUGACUGUUUUGUGAAAUCGAGUUACGUCUGUGAUUGAAGGAUUAAAAGGGUGUCUAUAGGAUUGAGUAUGCGGAGUGAAUGAAAUUUAUUGGGUUAAUCUAACAAGACAGUCAGUGGAUACAAGAUCGUAAAUACAAAGGAGUAUUGAAGGUUAACAGUUUGGGUUGUACGGGGUUCUCUGUAACGUCUAGAGACCUACCGGCUGGGGCAAAAAAGACUCCGACAAGCAGUCGAAGAGCACCCGUAUAGAUUUACGGUACAUUGUUGCAGUCGUUUAUAUUCCAGCAGUCAAAAACUGAUAGACUGCUUGACUAUCGGCGAAUCUCCAUACUACCUUCUACAGCCAGACGCUCGGCGCGUUCUCGAGCACGAAAGCACGUAAUACGACAGCGUCACAAAUGCAAAGAAGUUACAAACAAGGAUAGGAAAUUGAAUGUUAUCUUGCCUCAAUCUUAUCUCUUUUAUAAGAGAGAUUUUUAUCUUGGUUUUGAUAGAUGUCGUUGAUGAAAAACUUUGACUUUAGCUGAUGCAUUUCCUAGAUUCCUGGAUGGCUCCCAUGUGCGUUCACUAAUAUCAUAUCCGCGCCAUUGAACAAAACAUUCUAGCUUAUUUCGGCGCCGCCUUGAGUCUAAUAUCUCUUCCACCUCAAAUUCUUCAUUAUUAUCUACUUCUAUAGGAGGCGAUGGCAUUUGUCUUCUUCCUUGUAUAUCCAUUGUCUUAUAUGGUUCAAGAAGAGACACGUGGAAUACAGGAUGGAUCUUCAUUGACUCCGGUAGAUGUAACCGAUAUGCAACUGGGUUGAUCCGUUCAGAAACAGAAAAGGGGCCAAGCGUACGAUAGUCCAACUUGUCACAAGGUCGAGUAGUCUUGAUAUUGCGACGAAGUAGCCAUACCUUAUCACCCAUGUUGAUUUGUGGUUGCUCCUUACGAUAUAGAUCUGCGUUUAUCUUUUGUCGUUCUUGAGCUUCCUUCAAUUGCGUCUUCAUUAUUGCAUGUAACUCUGACAACCGAUUUGCCAUAUCUUCUGCUGUAGGAUUAUCAACUUUUGAAAAAUCAAAAGUAUAAAGUCGUGGAUGAUAGCCAUAAUUAGCAAAGAAAGGUGUUUGUUGUGUGGAAGAAUGUACCGUUGUCGUAUAAUGUGCUUUCGUGCUCGAGAACGCGCCGAGCGUCUGGCUGUAGAAGGUAGUAUGGAGAUUCGCCGAUAGUCAAGCAGUCUAUCAGUUUUUGACUGCUGGAAUAUAAACGACUGCAACAAUGUACCGUAAAUCUAUACGGGUGCUCUUCGACUGCUUGUCGGAGUCUUUUUUGCCCCAGCCGGUAGGUCUCUAGACGUUACAGAGAACCCCGUACAACCCAAACUGUUAACCUUCAAUACUCCUUUGUACUUACGAUCUUGUAUCCACUGACUGUCUUGUUAGAUUAACCCAAUAAAUUUCAUUCACUCCGCAUACUCAAUCCUAUAGACACCCUUUUAAUCCUUCAAUCACAGACGUAACUCGAUUUCACAAAACAGUCAAGAGUAUUCAAAUCCACUUCAUUUAAAAAUCCCGAUUCACCAUUACAACACUGACUUCAGCAGCGAUUGCCUCAGUCUUCCCCAAAACUCUACGAAGAAGAAAAAUCCAAAUCCUAUGUCUUUCCUUCCCC